AAAAAGACCGUGUCAAUUGUGUUUCAUCACUUCCAAAUACUUUAAUAUUCUUUCAUAUUCAAUCACAAACAUGGAUGUAACUUGCUACAGAUUCCUUUGACUUCUGGAAAUACACAGAAAAAUUCCAGUACCAGUGAAAAAGGCCAUAAUUCCCAAAUGUUGAUGCCCUGUAAAUACAGUUAUCAUUGCAAGGCACCUGACAGAUUGUGUAGGCAGAGGAGGGAAGGGGGCACCACACUGUGCUGGCAGAUCCCCAGUCAUUACAAAAACAAGAGAUGCCUGGCAACUGAAAGAAAUCAAUGCAAAUUUGCUCAUAAAUGGUUAGCAGAAUAGCCACUACUUCACUGAUUAAAUCUUCAGCUAACUAACAGGCAAAAUUCAAAAGUUAAUGGAAACUUCAUAUUGUUGCUAUGUAAAAUUAUCUCCAUGCUGUUUUCAAGCUGCUGUGUGUUCUGGUGAAGACCUGCUUUGUCUCUCAGAGCCUGUUGCCAUGGAAGUGACUGAAAUAUUGCUAGUUAAGCAAUAGCCUCUAUUUUCUAAACAAAUAAGCAGCUUCCUUCUGCAGAGGGCUGUAAGUGGGCCUUGUGCUACUCUCAAGUGUGCAUUGCACUUGUCAAACGCUUUUAAGCACCGAGCUCAGCUCUAAGCAAGCAGGUCACCUAACAGGAAGGACCAGUUAGAAGGUGUUGCCUUGUGUGGGCAGAAGGGAUCUCAAGUUUCACACUUGAGAAGUAUUUCCAAAUCACAUCAGGUCAACCCUCACUUCUGCUGCAUACUGGCAAAAAAGGUUCAUGGCAAACAUUGAGAAGUGGAGAAACCAUGCAAGUUUCAACUCAGGCCAAGCUUAAGUCCAAAAGUCCAGACAGAUGACAUAGCCCCAUGACCAAAAAUGAUGAAGCAAAAGAAGGCACAAUAUUCAAAUGGCAAACUGCUUUUGCCUGUGUGAUAGAAGCAUGAUAAGACUUUGUCUGCUUGGAGAAGACAUGGCAAGACCACCACACUGCAGAGGAGGAACAGUUUGCAGGCAGCCCCAAAGAGUGCUCUGGGAGAGAAGCUGAAGAUUUGAACAGUGUUCCAAGACAGCUCAGCAUCACACAGGUCAGGAUUGAAUGAUUCAGAAGGAAUAGCUUCGGACAGUAUCUAAUCUACUUUUUGGACUGCAUAAUAGAAGUGUGACACCCAGAAAUGAUGGACAGAAACUACUGUCUGUCUAGUUAAAUAGUUGAUUCUACCUGUCUUUCCUCUGUAUCAUUGUACUAUUACAUGGAUCAAGAUCAGAAAAGUUUAGAAUUUUUCUCAUUUCAUUAAUGUAAUUUUGUCAAAAUGAUAUUUUUGGGGGUUUUAACUACUAAUUGAACAUGCAUAGUCAUAAAAAAAAUCCAGAAGAAAGAAAAAACCCCUUAUUUUUACCACUUUUUAACCAUUGCUCUUUUACUAUUUCCUAAUUCUACAUAAAAUUUAGUAAUUCACUCCAUAAUCAGGUCACCCAAUUUGGAGAUGUAAUGUUUCUAUUAACUGCAGAAUACAGCACUGUGUAAAUGUUUGCAGGCUUCUAGAAGAGCUGAGAUGACCAAAAAACGCUCAGACUUAAACAGUUCAUUGGCUCAGUGCUUCUAAUGGUUUUAUAUAAUAUUAUUUUUCCUUUUUUAAGUGAACUUCAAACCUUUCCAAAGAUGCCUGGAAAAUGGAGGAUGCUAAGAAAACUUAACCUUAUCUUUGUUAAAAUGCUGUCUGCACCAGCACAUUGCAUCAUAAUAGGUUCUGAACUUGAAAAUUUGCAUUCACUGUCAUGACACCAAAUUCAAUUUUGUGCUCAGUUUGGACAAGGACCUAUCUGCCAGUGACUGACCUCCCAUCAGCUGUCCAUGGCUAAAGCAAACACAAGUCAGCGUUAC